rnacentral:rRNA from 1 species
AGCGGCGGACGGGUGAGUAAUGCCUGGGAAUAUGCCCUGAUGUGGGGGAUAACUAUUGGAAACGAUAGCUAAUACCGCAUAAUCUCUUCGGAGCAAAGAGGGGGACCUUCGGGCCUCUCGCGUCAGGAUUAGCCCAGGUGGGAUUAGCUUGUUGGUGAGGUAAUGGCUCACCAAGGCAACGAUCCCUAGCUGGUCUGAGAGGAUGAUCAGCCACACUGGAACUGAGACACGGUCCAGACUCCUACGGGAGGCAGCAGUGGGGAAUAUUGCACAAUGGGGGAAACCCUGAUGCAGCCAUGCCGCGUGUGUGAAGAAGGCCUUCGGGUUGUAAAGCACUUUCAGUAGGGAGGAAGGUAGUGUAGUUAACACCUGCACUAUUUGACGUUACCUACAGAAGAAGCACCGGCUAACUCCGUGCCAGCAGCCGCGGUAAUACGGAGGGUGCGAGCGUUAAUCGGAAUUACUGGGCGUAAAGCGCAUGCAGGCGGCCUGUUAAGUCAGAUGUGAAAGCCCGGGGCUUAACCUCGGAAUUGCAUUUGAAACUGGCAG